UACGGGGGGGGCAAGCGUUGUUCGGAUUUACUGGGCGUAAAGGGCGCGUAGGCGGCCACCGCAAGUCAGUUGUGAAAUCUCUGGGCUUAACCCAGAAAGGUCAACUGAUACUGCGGGGCUAGAGUGCAGAAGGGGCAACUGGAAUUCUCGGUGUAGCGGUGAAAUGCGUAGAUAUCGAGAGGAACACCUGCGGCGAAGGCGGGUUGCUGGGCUGACACUGACGCUGAGGCGCGAAAGCUAGGGGAGCGAACGGG
rnacentral:rRNA from 1 species